rnacentral:rRNA from 1 species
GAUGAACGCCGGCGGUGUGCCUAAUACAUGCAAGUCGUACGCACUGGCCCAACUGAUUGAUGGUGCUUGCACCUGAUUGACGAUGGAUCACCAGUGAGUGGCGGACGGGUGAGUAACACGUAGGUAACCUGCCCCAGAGCGGGGGAUAACAUUUGGAAACAGAUGCUAAUACCGCAUAACAACAAAAGCCACAUGGCUUUUGUUUGAAAGAUGGCUUUGGCUAUCACUCUGGGAUGGACCUGCGGUGCAUUAGCUAGUUGGUAAGGUAAUGGCUUACCAAGGCGAUGAUGCAUAGCCGAGUUGAGAGACUGAUCGGCCACAAUGGAACUGAGACACGGUCCAUACUCCUACGGGAGGCAGCAGUAGGGAAUCUUCCACAAUGGGCGCAAGCCUGAUGGAGCAACACCGCGUGAGUGAAGAAGGGUUUCGGCUCGUAAAGCUCUGUUGUUGGAGAAGAACGUGCGUGAGAGUAACUGUUCACGCAGUGACGGUAUCCAACCAGAAAGUCACGGCUAACUAC